rnacentral:rRNA from 1 species
UACGUAGGGUGCGAGCGUUGUCCGGAAUUAUUGGGCGUAAGGGGCUCGUAGGCGGUCUGUUGCGUCAGGAGUGAAAACUCGGGGCUUAACCCCGACGCCUGCUUCUGAUACGGGCAGACUAGAGGUAUGCAGGGGAGAACGGAAUUCCUGGUGUAGCGGUGAAAUGCGCAGAUAUCAGGAGGAACACCGGUGGCGAAGGCGGUUCUCUGGGACGGUACUGACGCGUGAGACGCGAAAGCGUGGGGAGCGAACAGG